rnacentral:rRNA from 1 species
GAUCCUGGCUCAGGACAAACGCUGGCGGCGUGCUUAACACAUGCAAGUCGAACGGAGUACCCGAGACAGAAGCUUCGGCAGACGUUUUGGAAUACUUAGUGGCGGACGGGUGAGUAACACGUGAGUAACCUGCCCCUGAGUGGGGGAUAACACACCGAAAGGUGUGCUAAUACCGCAUAAUAUACCUUUGCCGCAUGGCAGAGGUAUCAAAGAUUUAUUGCUCAGGGAUGGACUCGCGUCCGA